CCUACGGGUGGCAGCAGUGAGGAAUAUUGGUCAAUGGACGAGAGUCUGAACCAGCCAAGUAGCGUGAAGGAUGACUGCCCUAUGGGUUGUAAACUUCUUUUAUAUGGGAAUAAAAUGUUCCACGUGUGGGAUUUUGUAUGUACCAUAUGAAUAAGGAUCGGCUAACUCCGUGCCAGCAGCCGCGGUAAUACGGAGGAUCCGAGCGUUAUCCGGAUUUAUUGGGUUUAAAGGGAGCGUAGGUGGAUUGUUAAGUCAGUUGUGAAAGUUUGGGGCUCAACCGUAAAAUUGCAGUUGAAACUGGCAGUCUUGAGUACAGUAGAGGUGGGCGGAAUUCGUGGUGUAGCGGUGAAAUGCUUAGAUAUCACGAAGAACUCCGAUUGCGAAGGAAGUUCACUGGACUGCAACUGACACUGAGGCUCGAAAGUGUGGGUAUCAAACAGGAUUAGAUACCCGAGUAGUC
rnacentral:rRNA from 1 species